AUUGAACGCUGGCGGCAUGCUUUACACAUGCAAGUCGAACGGUAACGCGGGGGCAACCCUGGCGACGAGUGGCGAACGGGUGAGUAAUACAUCGGAACGUGUCCUGGAGUGGGGGAUAGCUCGGCGAAAGCCGGAUUAAUACCGCAUACGCUCUGAGGAGGAAAGCGGGGGACCUUCGGGCCUCGCGCUGCGGGAGCGGCCGAUGUCGGAUUAGCUAGUUGGUGGGGUAAAGGCCCACCAAGGCGACGAUCCGUAGCUGGUCUGAGAGGAUGAUCAGACACACUGGGACUGAGACACGGCCCGGACUCAUACGGGAGGCAGCAGUGGGGAAUUUAGGGCAAUGGGGGCAACCCUGAUCCAGCCAUGCAGCGUGAGUGAAGAAGGCCUUCGGGUUGUAAGGCUCCUUCGGACGGAACGAAACGGUUACGGUGAAUAAUCGUGACUAAUGACGGUACCGUAAGAAGAAGCACCGGCUAACUACGUGCCAGCCGCCGCCGUAA
rnacentral:rRNA from 1 species